UACGGAGGGUGCAAGCGUUAUCCGGAAUCACUGGGUUUAAAGGGUGCGUAGGCGGCUGUAUAAGUCAGAGGUGAAAGCCCGGAGCUUAACUUCGGAACUGCCUUUGAUACUGUAUAGCUUGAAAUAGGUUGAGGUCAGCGGAAUGUGGCAUGUAGCGGUGAAAUGCAUAGAUAUGCCAUAGAACACCAAUUGCGAAGGCAGCUGGCUGGACCUUAUUUGACGCUGAGGCACGACAGCGUGGGGAGCAAACCGG
rnacentral:rRNA from 1 species